UGGAUAAAUUCGAAAAUGGAUGCUGCUGUCCAGUUUUCCCAGCAGGUUACUUUCUCGAAAAGCAUACAGCUGCAGCAAGCGUUGGUGUCUCCAGUCAAGAAUGGUUCAGUUUCUCGGACUAAUGAAGAAUCUGACAAUGCUCUCAACAAUAUUCUUCUGUUAUACACUCAUUCUCUCUUGUUAUCUACAAAAUUAACUUCUGGUAGGCAUUCCUGCUGUAACAAAGGGUACACCAUCUCCGCCUCCUCAGUCAUCAACGCCAAUAUCGUUGGUGGCAUCUGAUGUUGUUAUGAUGUUCCGUGUCCCAAAACUUGUCUCAAUCGUCUCAGAACCUUUGCGUUCAUGGACUGCAUGUCUGCUCCGGCAUUGAGUUAAGAAAAUCCAUGGUGUGUGCACCUAUCUUGUGAUGUUGGCAGCAGAAAGGGUUGGUGUCUCUAGGCAAGAAUGUGAGUGAUGCUGCUGAAGCUUUAGCCUUCGAAAGGAGAUUUAAAGAGGCUGCACAUGUUCAAUGUCAGUGGAGUUUCAGUUGCGUGCUUGCAUGAAACUUUGACUUGACUCAACCUCACUCUUCAACCCUUUCAACA